rnacentral:rRNA from 1 species
GUCUAUGGCCACGCCACUCCGAACACGCCCGAUCUCGUCUAAUCUCAGAAGCUAAGCAGGUCAGGCCUGCUUCGUCCUUGGAUGGGAGACCACCUAGGAAGACCAGGUGCUGUAGGCA